rnacentral:rRNA from 1 species
GUUGUCCGGAAUUAUUGGGCGUAAAGGGCUCSYMKGCRGUCUGUUGCGUCGGGAGUGAAAACUCAGGGCUUAACCCUGAGCCUGCUUCCGAUACGGGCAGACUAGAGGUAUGCAGGGGAGAACGGAAUUCCUGGUGUAGCGGUGAAAUGCGCAGAUAUCAGGAGGAACACCGGUGGCGAAGGCGGUUCUCUGGGCAUUACCUGACGUUGAGGAGCGAAAGUGUGGGGAGCGAACAGGAUUAGAUACCCUGGUAGUCCACACCGUAAACGUUGGGCGCUAGGUGUGGGACUCAUUCCACGAGUUCCGUGCCGCAGCUAACGCAUUAAGCGCCCCGCCUGGGGAGUACGGCCGCAAGGCUA